GUAAAUGAAAUAUUAAAAUAAGUCAGGUCCUGGACUGAUUGAAAGAUUAUGUCUCCAUCAUAUGAAAAUCAAGCACAAUCCCUUCCGUUGCUGAUUUUUUUCAUUAAUUGUAACUCAUAACAAAACAGAAACAGGUCAGCAAUAAGUGGUGCACAGUUAUUCCCCAUUGGAAUUCUGAUAGCUUGACAAUAUACGUAAACUCCAUAGCAGACAAAAAUGAUAUCUAGUAAAAAUUUAAGGGCAGUUAUGGUAUCAAAGCAGGUCCAAUUG
rnacentral:lncRNA from 1 species